AUGACGCUGGCGGCGUGCUAAUACAUGCAAGUCGAACGCUUUGUGGUUCAACUGAUUUGAAGAGCUUGCUCAGAUAUGACGAUGGACAUUGCAAAGAGUGGCGAACGGGUGAGUAACACGUGGGAAACCUACCUCUUAGCAGGGGAUAACAUUUGGAAACAGAUGCUAAUACCGUAUAACAAUGACAACCGCAUGGUUGUUAUUUAAAAGAUGGUUCUGCUAUCACUAAGAGAUGGUCCCGCGGUGCAUUAGCUAGUUGGUAAGGUAAUGGCUUACCAAGGCGAUGAUGCAUAGCCGAGUUGAGAGACUGAUCGGCCACAAUGGGACUGAGACACGGCCCAUACUCCUACGGGAGGCAGCAGUAGGGAAUCUUCCACAAUGGGCGAAAGCCUGAUGGAGCAACGCCGCGUGUGUGAUGAAGGGUUUCGGCUCGUAAAACACUGUUGUAAGAGAAGAAUGACAUUGAGAGUAACUGUUCAAUGUGUGACGGUAUCUUACCAGAAAGGAACGGCUAAAUACGUGCCAGCAGCCGCGGUAAUACGUAUGUUCCAAGCGUUAUCCGGAUUUAUUGGGCGUAAAGCGAGCGCAGACGGUUAUUUAAGUCUGAAGUGAAAGCCCUCAGCUCAACUGAGGAAUUGCUUUGGAAACUGGAUGACUUGAGUGCAGUAGAGGAAAGUGGAACUCCAUGUGUAGCGGUGAAAUGCGUAGAUAUAUGGAAGAACACCAGUGGCGAAGGCGGCUUUCUGGACUGUAACUGACGUUGAGGCUCGAAAGUGUGGGUAGCAAACAGGAUUAGAUACCCUGGUAGUCCACACCGUAAACGAUGAGUGCUAGGUGUUUGAGGGUUUCCGCCCUUAAGUGCCGCAGCUAACGCAUUAAGCACUCCGCCUGGGGAGUACGACCGCAAGGUUGAAACUCAAAGGAAUUGACGGGGACCCGCACAAGCGGUGGAGCAUGUGGUUUAAUUCGAAGCAACGCGAAGAACCUUACCAGGUCUUGACAUCCCUUGACAACUCCAGAGAUGGAGCGUUCCCUUCGGGGACAAGGUGACAGGUGGUGCAUGGUUGUCGUCAGCUCGUGUCGUGAGAUGUUGGGUUAAGUCCCGCAACGAGCGCAACCCUUAUUACUAGUUGCCAGCAUUCAGUUGGGCACUCUAGUGAGACUGCCGGUGACAAACCGGAGGAAGGUGGGGAUGACGUCAAAUCAUCAUGCCCCUUAUGACCUGGGCUACACACGUGCUACAAUGGCGUAUACAACGAGUUGCCAACCCGCGAGGGUGAGCUAAUCUCUUAAAGUACGUCUCAGUUCGGAUUGUAGGCUGCAACUCGCCUACAUGAAGUCGGAAUCGCUAGUAAUCGCGGAUCAGCACGCCGCGGUGAAUACGUUCCCGGGUCUUGUACACACCGCCCGUCACACCAUGAGAGUUUGUAACACCCAAAGCCGGUGGGGUAACCUUCGGGAGCCAGCCGUCUAAGUGGGACA
rnacentral:rRNA from 1 species